UAUAAAAGAGUAUGGUUGUGUUUUGGUUCAUUGAAGCUUUAAAAUUGGUGAUUACGAUAAGGAAGAUGACAUACUGUUGUGGGACGGUGGUUUUGUUCAUUAUACUACUCACCGUAUUCACCCCUUCAACACUUGCUGAGUUUAGCACUGAAGAUUCAUAUGACGGAGAUUACAGACAAGGAGGUGUUCCUCACAUCCAUGUCCCGCGCUUUGGCAUUCCUUAUCCUCGCCCUCGUCCUAGGCCGCCACCAACAGCUCUAAACCACUAUGCUCCGUAGGCCUACCCUACCAUAAACAGUCUUUCUCAUCUUCACUUUUUUCUUUCUUUUCUAUAAGAAAUUGUACUCAAAACAAAUUAUUUAUAUAUGUAAUCUUGCAACCUCUUUUGUUUGUUUGGUGAUA
rnacentral:lncRNA from 1 species